AGCAGGUGGAGAUGAGAAAGCUUCUCUUGGAGACUACAAUGGAGUAUGACUAUGGAGGAGCCAACCCAAAGCAUGAGCCAAAAAAAGGCAAGCCUGGUGGUGGAAAAAUUCCUUAGAGCCAUUUUCACCAAGUCUUAGUGGUGGAUCCUUUUUUUUUUGUAGCCUUUUUUCUAGGGUUAGUAUUGGAGCUUAGGAGAUAUUCUUUUGGUUGUAAGGAUGAAGAAACAUAAUAUGUCCGGUAUUAUCCAAUAAUCUUUUAGGUAACUAAUAUAAAUGAGAGGAAGAACAUGGUGUUCUAUUCCAAAUAUUAUGUUGAGAUAUUAAAGGCAUUGAAAAAUAAAUGGUGAUUUUAUUACAAAAUAAACCAUGUUUUAAGUUCUCUACUUAGAGGACUACAAUAUUUAAACACGUGAACAACAUGAAAGAAAGGCAUUUGUAGAGGA
rnacentral:lncRNA from 1 species